GAGUUGUUUAACCUUCGGGGGACGACAACGGCGUCGAGCGGCGGACGGGUGAGUAAUGCCUGGGAAAUUGCCCUGAUGUGGGGGAUAACCAUUGGAAACGAUGGCUAAUACCGCAUGAUAGCUUCGGCUCAAAGAGGGGGACCUUCGGGCCUCUCGCGUCAGGAUAUGCCCAGGUGGGAUUAGCUAGUUGGUGAGGUAAGGGCUCACCAAGGCGACGAUCCCUAGCUGGUCUGAGAGGAUGAUCAGCCACACUGGAACUGAGACACGGUCCAGACUCCUACGGGAGGCAGCAGUGGGGAAUAUUGCACAAUGGGCGCAAGCCUGAUGCAGCCAUGCCGCGUGUAUGAAGAAGGCCUUCGGGUUGUAAAGUACUUUCAGCAGUGAGGAAGAUGGUGUGUUUAAUACGUACAUCAUUUGACGUUAGCUGCAGAAGAAGCACCGGCUAACUCCGUGCCAGCAGCCGCGGUAAUACGGAGGGUGCGAGCGUUAAUCGGAAUUACUGGGCGUAAAGCGCAUGCAGGUGGUUUGUUAAGUCAGAUGUGAAAGCCCGGGGCUCAACCUCGGAAUAGCAUUUGAAACUGGCAGACUAGAGUACUGUAGAGGGGGGUAGAAUUUCAGGUGUAGCGGUGAAAUGCGUAGAGAUCUGAAGGAAUACCGGUGGCGAAGGCGGCCCCCUGGACAGAUACUGACACUCAGAUGCGAAAGCGUGGGGAGCAAACAGGAUUAGAUACCCUGGUAGUCCACGCCGUAAACGAUGUCUACUUGGAGGUUGUGGCCUUGAGCCGUGGCUUUCGGAGCUAACGCGUUAAGUAGACCGCCUGGGGAGUACGGUCGCAAGAUUAAAACUCAAAUGAAUUGACGGGGGCCCGCACAAGCGGUGGAGCAUGUGGUUUAAUUCGAUGCAACGCGAAGAACCUUACCUACUCUUGACAUCCUCAGAAGAGACUGGAGACAGUCUUGUGCCUUCGGGAACUGAGAGACAGGUGCUGCAUGGCUGUCGUCAGCUCGUGUUGUGAAAUGUUGGGUUAAGUCCCGCAACGAGCGCAAC
rnacentral:rRNA from 1 species